UCUGCGGCCGGCGGCGGCUCUGCCUUCAGGCGUCCGCCUCAAUCUCCUCUUCUGCCAGGUGGGGCCCGGAGUCCGGCCGGCCGGGGGCUGGGGCGCCCCGGGGCAGCGCGAGGCGGCCCUGGACGUCGGGGGACAGCGCGCUCAGCGAGGCCACGUCUGCGCGCAUCUCCUCCACGUCGCGCUUGAGCUUGGCGCGCCGGUUCUGGAACCACGUGACAACCUGUGCGUUGGCCAAACCGAGCCUCGCCGCCAGCCCGUCGCGCUCGGAAGGCGCCAGGUACUUCUGGAAGAGGAAGCGUCGCUCCAGCUCCAGCACCUGCUGCGCCGUGAACGCCGUCUCCCUCGGCCGUGAUUGCCCCGCCUACAGCGAACGGACGCCCGGGUCCCUCAGCUUUCGACAGACCCGCCCUGCCCCUCGGCGCUGGCGGCCUCCAGGAGCGGCCGCGAACCUGGGAACUAAUGGGGGGGAGGGGAGGAGCGGGAGACGCAAGUCCCAGCACGUGGGUCGAGGGCAGGGGGCAGAUUAGGGUGGCAGCCGGGGUGAACGAAGGUUCGAGACCGGGACCUGGAGGAGAGAGAUGGGGAGAAGGCCACGUCAAAGUGCGCGCCCCUGCCGGCGCUAUACCUUCAGAGGACUCCGGUGCGUGCCCGUCCAGUCCGCGGAACGCUUUACUAGUCAGCUCCUCCAGCGCACACAGAGGCGACGGGGGACCAGGGUUCGACUCUGGAAGCUGAGACGCAGAAGGCCCUCGGGCGACCAUGCGCGGGCCCAGGAUGUCUGCGAUGCUGAAGAGUGUCCGGGGUGGCCGGGGCUCGGGUCCCGAGCUCAUGGCCGGACGGGCUGUGGCGGUCCCGCCGCCGGCUGCGCUCGGCUCCGCAGCUGCCUGGGCCCCGGCGCGCGGCUCCCGAUCUGGGCCCCCCGCCUCGGACCCGCCCCCCGCGCUGGGCCCGAGCCCCGGGUGCCCCUCCUCCUGAGCCCCCAACCCCCAGCUCGGGGCCGGUGGGGCCGGGAGAUGUCAGGGCAGGGUGGGGAGGCUCGGAGAGUCCCGAAACAACCUGCUGUAGCGGGCUGCCGACCUGCUCCGGUGCACAUCCUGGCUGGACUCUUCCUGGACGGCCCCCGAGGUUCUGUGUGCCACCGACUCCCCGUCAAGCCGCUGCUCUGGCUCAUAACUAGCCGGCAAUAAAAUUGCUUCCCCUGGCCCCAGCGGAUGGGGAUUUGCAAAAUCCCAAGGAGGGAGAAUCGGAGCUGACUGUUCUAGGAUCUCCGAUCCCUCCUAGGAAGGACCUCAGUCUCCCGACCUAGCCCCCGCGUCCCCCCCCACCCCUGCGGAACGCUCUUAAAGAGGUCCCGGCGGCUGGAAGUUAUUAGCGCGGCGCGAGGGGGCUGGGGGAACUCGAGACUUGGAAGGACCUGGCCUGGCAGAGCGUCUGCAACCCCGGGGUAAUGAGGUUGCGAUGUGGAAGCAAAGGCAGGUGAGUGGACUCCUCCUGCUCUCUGGACCCAGACAGGUCCACAAGGCUCAGAGGCCCUGAAAAAGUCAAAACACAUGAAGAAACGGAGGACACCUGGACCUCAGGAGAGAGGACACAGCAAAUUAGCGCUCCUGCCUGGGCUGCGUCUUUGCCAGGGAAGACCGGCCUCCACAGUCACAGUCCAUCUUUGCCUCCUUGUUAAGCUCCUGUCGUUCAAAUAAGGGUUCUCCAGCCUGAGAAGCCCAGAAACCACCAUGUAGGAGCAGCAAGGGGAAGGGCCACUGGUCCUCCCCAGAGAAAAGUGACUUGAAGCGCAGACUUCAUGGACCCAGGCAGAUCAUGAGACAGAAACCCCUGCCAACUCAGCGACAAACUGUAGGGUCUGGGAUAGUCGUUCCUAUUUUAUCUGUGUCCUUUCACUUUUCUUCUACACCUACUCUAGUCCUGAGUGCUCACACCUGGGUGAGCACCCUGCAACACUCCUUUGUAGGAAGAAGGCAGCUCUGGGAGUGCUGCUUCAUCAGUGGAGGCCCAACAAGGCAAGAGUUCUGUUCACACAAACACCCCAAUAGCUAGGGGAUUCACAGCCCCGAGGCAGUGAAGUCCCACCACUCUUGAGCUCACCAUUCCUAAGGAACUCACCUCCACAGGAUUCUUCUAUUUUUUUUUUUUUUUUCCCAAUAGUGCCAAGAAGCCAUCCCUCCUAGACUGUGUUAUGUCACUCACCUCGGUAGAUCUCUGCACCUCCCACCAUUCAUGUAGUGAGCCUCUGUGCCUGUUCUCUGGGGCAAGUGGAGCCUGCAAUAGAGGCACCCUAGAGUCCGGGAGACGGAAGGCACCGGGGCCAAAGACUCCUUAACAAGGAGAAGAAGGCACUUUGAUAGUGAGGGUGAGGGAACCUCAUGUGGCCUGAGCACUGGCCUGGCCCACCAAACAAAGAUGAAGAAACACAAGGACUCCUUGUUGGUCAGCCCUCUACCCUCCCCCUGACACACCCAGACACUCGCAGAGUACCCUCCUGGCAGCCUGAACAGCACACUCUAGCCCAGUAGGCCACCGCUGGGGCAGAGAGCAGAGCCACACCACAGCAGAAAGCUGAGCUGCCUCAGGAUCUUGUAAAUUGGUUAUUAAUGGCGGGAGGUGGAGGGGGGCCAAGAGUGAUCCUCUCUGCUGGAGGCCUCAGUCCUCUGAACCAUCCUGGUGAUUUCACUUAAUCUCCAUUUAAAGAGGGUCCCAGAAGGCUGCAGGAACUGCGGAACUCAGGUCCCAGGCUUGUCAGACACCUCAGACCUUUACUCAGGCGACCUUCACUCAUGCAUCUUCUAAAUAGCUUUUAGGUCAUCUCUUCCUCUGCUUUCGAUUCCUAGUGUGUUUGUGGGGAGCGCCCUCUCUCCUGAGGGGUCUUUGCCUUCCUGCCCUUCUCGCUCUCCCGCCUAUCUUCUCCCCCCAGUAACCAGGCUCAGGUAAUGGGGUUGGACAAAAGGGUUGGGUGACCCCCAUUUGGGGGACAAAAGGGAAGGAGAGACUAGUAAAGGGAGGAGGCCACAGCAGAGCCCACUAAGAUCAGCCCAGUGGCCAGGGAGCCAGGGACGUGUCCAGACAAUGGUGGGGCCACAGGAGGGGACUUCUCCCAGCAAAGUCUCUGGAACCUGAGCUGGGAAGAAACCAGAUCCACCGAUGGGGGUAGGAGGAAGGUGAAUGAUUAAUGAGGGAGAUUAAGAGAUGAAAUCUGGGAUCUGGGCUUGGGGGGGCGGCGGGAGGUGAGGGAGUGGUUUGCAGUGCUCAGCUGCCUUGUAGGCUCUCCCACCCAUACCUCCCACCCCAGGGUCCAACCCUUCUUGUCCUGGGCAUUUCACAGAGUGAUUCCUAGAUACAGAGUGAGUGAGAAUCACAGAGUGAUUCCUAGAUACUCACCUCUCCACCCCCUCCCCGCGGGUGAGCGUUUUUCUCUCUCAGCAUUCUCCAGCAACCCAUCCUCAUCUCCCACCUCCUCGAUUCCCCUCACAAUCCUUUCAGACAUCCAGGGUCUUCUGCUCCUCCCUGUUGUGGAGCUCCCCACAUUCCAACUUUCACUCCCCCAGGAAGCCGCCUCCAUUCCAAUUUAAGGAUGCCUUCUCACACUUCUGCUCCUCACCCUUUCAGAUUUCCCCUUUCUUGUGGCCCCCACCUUCUCUGUCAUUCCCUGAUACCGCACUUUUCCACCACCUUGACUGCCUCAGCUUUCCAUCUGGUGGGUUCCUUGACCCAGGCCCACCAGACUGCUGGCAUGGAGAUAUGCUCAAUAAACCACCUUUAGUUUCGA